AGUCACUGACAUUAGAUACCCCUGUAGUCCUAGCCGUAAACGAUACUCGCUAGGUGUCGGCCACGGUGCGACCGUUGUCGGUGCCGUAGGGAAGCCGUGAAGCGAGCCACCUGGGAAGUACGGCCGCAAGGGCUGAAACUUAAAGGAAUUGGCGGGGGAGCACAACAACGGGUGGAGCUUGCGGUUUAAUUGGAUUCAACGCCGGAAAUCUUACCGGGACCGACAGCGACAUGAAGGCCAGGCUGAAGACUUUGCCGGAUUAGCUG
rnacentral:rRNA from 1 species